rnacentral:piRNA from 1 species
UGUAAAAUGGGAAUAUUUUCUAGUGGU